GUCGUGGUAUCUCGUGACACUUCAUAUGGUAUAGGUUCUGUCCUCGGGGAACUUGAACAAGAUAAACUUUCAUUGAGAAAACAAAUAAAAAGCUCCCCACCAAUCAAAGUCAUCGAACACUCUAUUCCUACCACUAGAAUUUGGGACUGAUCUGGACUCCUGUCGGGUACCCUUUAUCUUUCAGACUGCUGCCUACAGAUUUUAGACUUGAAGAAAAGCAAUUACAAUUGCCAACUACCUUGUAUUACCAUCGAGAUUCAGUUCAGCAAACUAUUUCCUUAACCUUCCACCUAUGGAAUCUCUGCAGGACUUUACAUGGAGUGUCGAUCUAAUUAUGUUACUCGAACUAAUAGGUCUACCAUCUUCAAUGACGUAAAUAUCUUAUGAGCUGACUGUACCAUCUUCAACAGAUCUGAAAAUCACAAUCUGAUAGCUCCUAUAUCCUCCUAGAAGUACCAAAAUUAUGUGUGGUUAGCGGCGUUGCAAAGAAGACCAGUAAAGCUACCUCAUUUACGAAAGCCACAGUUCGGUUGUAUCCAUAUUUGUUCAGAUUUUUAAUUCCUCUGCAUGACACACUUCUGUGACCACAAUGCGUUGCAUCCUCGUCUAGAGAUAGUAAGUGACCAAUGAGAUUCGAAUACCAAAAUCCUUACCAUGGAGGUUCAGCCUCCAACGAUCAGUGUCUUCUCGCUUGACAGAGGACUGUUUUCCGAAUCGCUUCAUUAUGAAGAAUGGUCACAAAUGUAGACCAAAGCCGUCAUCAGAAAUUUCUCGGGCAAGGCCAUUAAUAUGAAUGUUCCGCUGCUGAAAUCCGCAAUUCAUAAGGAAAUUGCGCUCGCUGAAUCUUCUCAUCCUACAGGAUGUCUCAGCAAUUGGAGUGUUCCGUCUUGUAGAUUUGGCAACGUCUGCUACACGUCUGGCUACUGGGAAUGCAUAGAGGAUGUGCUGCCCCGAGUUGUGGAUUUUGAUAAUUUUUUUAUAAACAUAUAUGACUCUGUGUAUCUGACCUGUUUCUUUUUUAUCCAGAUUUGUGCAGUCUCACUAAAACAUCCCCGUCUUGGUCUAGGAGCGUGUAAGCUAUGAGCUAAUUGACUCUAAUGACAUAAGACUUGGAAGGUCAGCAUAUCCAAAUAUCAAGUCAAAGCACCUUCUGGAUUAACAGAAAUUCAUUUUUGAAGUCCAUCUAUGACCUGGCCUAUUUUCUAACAGAUUUGCACAAUUUCACCAAAACAUCCCUGUCUUGACGUAGGAGCGUCCAAAUGAUGAGCAACUUAAUUCUGUUGAAAUGAAACUUUGAAGGCUACGAAAUAUCCAAAAAUCAAGGCAAAAAUCCAUCCGGAUUGACCGAAAUCAAUUUUUGAAUUUGACAUACAAUCUUGCCUAUUUUAGAUUUGCAUAGUUUCACCAAAACGUCCUCAUCUUGACGUAAGAGCUUCAAAAUCAUGAGAAGCUUGAUUUGGUAGAAAAUAUACGUAGAAUGCCUCAACAUACAUAAAAAUCAAGGCAAAACUCCUUCUGUAUUAACGGGAAUCAAUUUUUCAAAGAUAAAAAAUUGUGUUAUUUCUUUUUGACAGAUGUGUGCAAUUUUACCAAAGUAUUCCCGUCUAGGUGCAGGAGCAACCAAAUAAUGAGCGAGUAGAUUUCAUAGAAUCUAGAGUUGGAAGGAUAAAAUUCUUCUGGAUUAACAGAAAUUGAUUUUUGAAUUGGGAUAAAACUGGCAGGCCAUAACUUUGGACAGCAUUCUUGCGUGUGCUUCUCUUUUUGUAUCUUUCUCCAAAAAGGGUUUUACCCCCUUCCUAUUUUAGGUCUGUAUGAGGGUGUAGAUAGUCUCUAUUUCAAACCGAGAAGAUGCAAGGUACCAACUGGCGGGUUAACUCUUGCGGCUAAGCAAGAUGAAAGACUUGGAGUACUCCUUCCACAACCUUGAGCAUCGUUUCGUUGCAGCUAUGUGAUACACAUUUUGAGUUUUUCUUUAGCAAAAGACAAGUAGUGUGUCCUCUGUUGCAUCUUUGGCGAGUGAAGCAUGCGGGACGCCCUUUUCUUGAAACUUGGUGAGAAUAUGGAGUAUCCGAAUCUUCAAACUUUGACGUGGAACAGUUCUUUCUUCGAACUUGGGUAUUACGAGUUGCUUGACAUUGUGAAAAUGAAACUUUAAGAGGUAUGUAUAUCAAAAUUUAAGGGUCAAACUCGUUCAUGGACGGCUGAGUUAACUUUUUUUUUUAAAGGUGAUCAGACAUCUACUGCACCAACUUUUCAGAUUUGUGCGUUUAUGGUAUAAAAGCCAUAAACCAGUGUAGGAGCAACAAAAUCAUGUGCUUCUUGUUUUGUUGGCAAGAGGGACUCCAAGAGCUACAACUAUACAAUACUUGUGGCCAAAGCCUUCAGGGAUUUGUACAGAAUUUCCUUUGAAUUUGGUUCAAAUCCUGCCGAGCUCUUCUUCUUCAGAGUUACACGUCUAUGGUAUAAAAUCCAUAACUUGGUGUAGGAGUGCCCAAAUCGUGAUUUUCUGAUUUCUUUGGAAAGAUACUCCAAGAAAUACAAUAUGUAGAAAGAUCAUGGCCAAAUGCUUUGCGAAUUUGUAUAGAUUCUUCUUUGAAGUUAGCUCAAAUUCUGUCAUGCUCGUCUCUUCAGAUUUGGAUGCCUAUGACAUAAAAUCCAUGACUUGGUGUAGGAGUGCCGAAAUCACUAGCUUCCUAUUUCAUUGGAAGGAAGAAUCCAAGAACUACAAUCGGUAGAAAUAUCAUGGGCAAACUUUAUAAAUUUGUACAGAUUUUACUUAGAAAUCGGCUUAGGUUUUUUUUGGUCUGAUUUAUUUGCUUUGUGCGUCUAUAGAAUAAAAUCCAUAACUUGAGCUUGAAGUGUUGAAGUUUUGUUAAAUCAGCCUGAAUUGACGCGUACUAUUUUCUGAAGUUGAUGCUACAAUCUGAAGUUAUCCUGGACAGUAUGCUUCAUGAGCGAUUAUUCUCCUUUUUUUAAUCUUCUUUUAUAGGUAUUUGAGAGGGUAUAAAUGGUCUUGAUAUCAGACCAAGGCAAUUCAAGGGAUGUCCAUAUAUGUAACAAGGUACAAUUUGACAUGUUACUUCUUGUAUCUUGGUAAGAAAAAGACUUGAGCAACUGCAUUCCAUCCUUGGCUUCAUCCUUGCACCUUGGAGAGAGAUUUUUUUAAAUAUCUUUUUUGAGCUCAAGCAUGUGCCCAUCUCAACAUCGUGUGUUGGUGAGCAAGAGGUUUGGAAUAGUCCUCCCCCACUUUGGCAACACAUCAUCCUUAUCUUUGGCUUGAUAGAGAGUACACUCCAAAAUUCUAUCCUUAAAGAACGAAGUGCAUGGAGUGUCCUCUUCGUGUAGUUUAAGAAGACGUAGACAUGGGCAUCUAAGGUACAUUUUUUUAUUCAAACAUGGUUGAAAGUAAUAUUUGAUCCUGAGCAAACACUAGGUCCAGAAUGUGAUAAGUCUUGAUUUUCAGCUAAUACAUAGUGAGUUUCCCAUAUUCUUCUUAGUAAUUUCAAUGAUCCAACUCUCAUGAUAUGUUCCAAACCUCCAUAGUCUAUAGGUGUUUUCGUUGUUAUGGCAAUUCAAAGCAGAUGAAGGAAAAUCUUCCAGCUGCUUCAUAUCUGGGAGGGAAUGUGUAACAGGGCAUAUUCUGAAAGACGAAUAUGUUAAAAGCUGAAGUGCUUCUUGGCAUAAAGAAGAAUGAAGUCGUUCACCUCAAUCUGCCUCCACGUCUUUCUUUUGCUGCUAUUUGCGUUCUUGAUAUGUUAGCUUUGGCUUUAGUCUGGUAUUGACCUUCUGCAGAUCAUUUUCUUGUCUUUUGUGAACCACUCAGGAUUCAUGUGACCCAGAAAAUUACUCAGAUGUGACUGAAGAAUGUGAUGACUUGAAGGCAUCUCAGCAACCACACUCAGUUCAAAGAAGCCGUAUACAAAAUCAUGCAAACAAGUAUGGAGCAGCAGCUAUUUCCUGUACCGAGCAGAACGGAAAUAUAAACAAUUCUCCAUCUGCCCAGCAUGUCAAUGUGGGCUGCUUGAAAGAUACACAAGGCAGCGGAACUGUGAAUUAGAUUCCCCAGCAUUAAAGGUCGUACGUCAAAUGUCUAAUAGAAACAAUUUGGAAAAUCACAGCCAAACAUCUCUUGUUCUGAAGGUAGUAGUUUGAAAGCGGGACAAGCUCUUCAAACAGGUUAUGAACUUGCCUGGGUGUCUCGUAACACUUGGAAUGGAAGAGGUUCUGUCCUCUGGGAACUCGAACAAGCUAAACCUUUAUUAGUGAGCAAACAAAUCAACAACUCCCCAUCAAUAAUAGCUGGAUCCUCAAUCAAAGCCAUGAAACACUCUUUUCCUGCCACUAGAAUUGGGGACAGGUCAGGACUCCUGGUGGGUACCCUGCAUCUUUCAGACUGCUGCCUACAAAUUUUCAACUAUAAUCGCCAACUACCCUAUAUUUCCCUUGAGAAUCAGUUCAGCAGACUAGUCUCCUAACCUUCCACCUAUGGAAUCUCUUCAAGACCUUACAUGGACUAUCGAUCAAAUUAUGUUACUCGAACUAAAAGGUUUACUUCUCCUUCCCCAAGAGCUUUCCUAAAUGUCUCUUCUUCAGCUCCUUCAUACAGGCCUACAUCUGAAACCAACUUUGAUGCAGGCCUACCAUCUUCAUUGAGGUCUAAUCGUAACUCAAGUUCCCAUUUUCCCUUCUCUAGUAAAUGUACGUACCCUACCAAUCCAUGUUCCCAGACGUGGUGCGAGAACUACCCUCAGUGAAGUAUUCUCAAGAAAUUUUCCUACGAAUGGGACAGGUUUACCUCCCUUAUUUUACUUCUCAACCUUGCACCCCGAUGUAUGCCUCCUUCAUUUUCCGCCUCAUGUUAUGAUCUAUUGAUCCUCACGUCAGACCCAAUAUAUAUGUUUAGUCGUUGAUAUAGUACACAGUGCAGUUCUUGAUCAAGAAAUUCCUCAUAUACCUCAAAUGUUAUUCGCCGGCCUAAUCAGGGGUUAGCGAGAAACCUCAGCAAUAUACCUUUGGUGGUUGUAAAAUGUCAGAAAUAACAAAUUUAUUGGCAGGUGCUAUGAUAUAUAGUUUUCAUUCUUUUGCUUAAGCUCUGUCCGCCCCCCUCCCCCUUCCCCCCUACCCUAUUUUUGGCAUACACAUGAACAUAGACGCUCAAACUUCGCUUGAGCCGGCAAGAUAUGAAUUAUGAAGAUUCAAUGGAGGCAAGAAAUUGAAGGUUGCUAUAAGAAAGAAGAACAAGAAAUGGAAAAAUCAAAGUACCAUGAAGAGAAGUUUGGGUGUUGGAGAUGAAAUGAGAAAUGAAAAGUUCAAGAUCAAGACUCCUCAUGUUGUCAUAGUUGCUACUACACCAAAAUAGUCAAGGUGGCCAGUCACAGUGGCCAAGACAAUAAUAGUUCCAAUAGUUUUGAUUAAACCUUUUUAUUUUUAUUGUAGUCGAGUCUUAUGUUUAAAGAAACAUUGUACUCCUUGGUAUGUGUGUUUUCGUAAUUAUGAUAGGAGAGCAUUUCUUCUACCGAA